GUAGUUUUUGACUACAUUUUUAAAACAGUAGCUGUAGUUAUAGCGAACUACAUUUUGCCUAAAAGUAGCCAAGUAGUUGACUAGUUUUCAAACAGCAAAUCGCUAUUCGCUACUUUUAAAAAUUGUUAACAACUUGAUAGAAUAGCAUGAUAUUGAGACACGGUUUGCUUAAAAUCGAUACUCAAUAGUCAAUUUAAUUUGCAUUCCUGAACACUGUAGUGAUGACAAAAAUGUUGCUUUGUGUUUACUGUUGCUACUCGUAAGUCGAUUUGUUAUAGGUUACAUUACAGUCUGAGUUAGUAUAGAUGCUCCAAAUACAGUAAAACUAAAAAAUAUAGCGUAGCGAAAUAGCGAAAUAGUUCGCUACAUUUUUUAAGCAGUAGCUGUAGUCAGUAGCGAACUACCUUUGUUCAAAAGUAGCAGUAGUUGUAGCUGACUACAUAUUUUUGAAGUAGCUGUAGCGAACUACGACAAUUUUGUAGUCAACCCACCCUUGAUUAAGCGGCACCGUAUUAAGCGGUCACCCUUUGUUAAGCGGUCAUGUGGCAAAGUCCCGAAAAUUUCAUAAUAUAAAUACUAGUUAAGUGACCUUUAUUGAACGGUCACCUCUAUUAAGCGGACGCGGUCACCCUUUCCACGGUCCCAAACUUAAUUUUUCAUUGUUUUGAAACUGUAUUAAACGGUCAGUGGAAAGUAACUACAGCAAACAUGAAACAUAAUACAAUAUAUUAUUAUAAUUAAAUCUUUAUUCGGC